AGGAACCUUAAGGUUGCGGGUUCCAUCACUGGCCUCGCUCAGUGGGUUAAGGAUCUGGCAUUGCCAUGAGCUGUGGUGUAGGUCGCAGACACGAUGCGGAUCCAGCAUUGCUGUGGUUGUGGUGUAGGCUGGCGGCUACAGCUCCGAUUGGACCCCUAGCCUGGGACCCUCCAUGUGCCGUGGGUGUGGCCCUAAAAAGAAAAAAAAAAUUGCAGGAUGCAGCAAAAGCAGUGUUUAAAGGAAAAUUCAAAGUGUUAAAAUGCAUGUAUUAGAAAAGAAGAAACAACAAAGCAACAGCGAUAGCUUUCAGUAGGUAGAUGGCUAAACAAACUAUGGUACAGCCAUACAAAAAAUAUAUAAAUGAGAAGAAGAGACAAUCUAAUCUGUAGAAUUUCAGGUAUUUAUGUUGAUACUUCAUCCGAAAGAAGGUGGAUCAUAACUCUUCACUCUUUAAGUGAGAGCUGUGCAUAGUGACUUUGUUUUAAAAAGUCAAGUCUGGAAGGGAGGAGAAAGGUCACUUCAGAAUGGUUACAGACCCACCUCAGCCUGGUUACCAGGACUGACAGCGGCAGUGAUAAGUGUUGCUGAUGCUAUGCACUCUUUAUAGGAUGUGAUGAAAGUACCAUUUUAUCUCUAUGGGCUUCAUUUCCAAAUGCCACAACCCCAGUCUGAUAAUGAGGCAAAUGUCAUUUGAGGGGCAUUCUCCAAAAAUGAGUACUCUUCAAAACAAGGGACGUCUAAGAAAUUGUUGGAGCCAAGGGAAGCCUAAGGAGAUAGGACAAGUAAAUGAAAUGUGCUGUCUUGCAUGGAAUCCUGGAACAGAAAAGGGUAUUAGUUAAGAAUAAAGAAAAGCUGAAUCAAGUCUGUGUCAGUAUUGGUUCAUUAAUCGUAGCAAAUGCACAUGUAGGAUGUUAAUAAUAGGAAAAAACUCUGGGAUUCUAGGAAUUGACUGGAUUUCUCUUCACAAUUUUUCUGUGUCUAAAACUGUUCCAAAACUACAUUUUUUAUUUAAAAAACCACUCUAAGUAUACCUACAUGUUUCAUUUGUAGAAUUCUUACCCAAGGCCAUUUGUUCCAGUUUCAAGAAUUUCUGCUGAAUUUAACUUUCGGUAUUUAUGAUAUUCAGUUUAUUUCUGGAAUACAGCAAUUCUUUAUUUCCCCCUACAAACAUUUGCAAGGACAGAAUUGUCUUUUAGUUGUUAAAAUCCCGUGUCUUCCGUAUAUUUUUCAGUGCUCGUGUUUCCAUUGUCAUUUUACAACUUGCUUUUUGAGAACAAAAUGCGUUUAGUCACACACGAAAAAUAAAAAGUCCAUCUCUUUCAUCUACUCUUUAUUUUAUCAUCACGCCAUGAGGUGCCAGUAUGGAGGAGGCAUCACUGGGAAAGCAGACUGCCUGGCAGAAACUGCAUUUUGCAAUGGUGUCAUCCAAACUCUGGGGAGUUCUGUUACUCAGAAGUCUCCCUGGUUCAUUCAUGCAUUAAGAGGAUGAGCCUCUCUCUGCUUUCUCAUCCUGACAGAGGAGAAUGUUGCCAUGACAGCUGUUAGGAGAGUGGAGAUGCUGUAAAGAGCAUCCAUAAUGAAAAGAGAAAAGAGCCCAGCUUCUUGGAUUUCACUGGUGAUGCAUGGACUAGUGUGCAUGGAUUCUCAAAAUGUACCUUGAAAGUCUGUUACCUUCAUUUGAGGCAUUAUACUUUAUAGUUACCCACAUGUACCUAGACUCGUGGUUCAUUUUUCAAUAGCCUAAGCAGCAAGUAGAAAAAUUAAAUCUCAACCAAAGCCACCCAUAGAGCCCUCCUCUUCCAUCUUUAGAAUGGAAGUAGACUGAGGAUCUACCAUACUGAAGAUUUUCAAGAAUUGUUUAGUAAAUGAUUAUUAUAAAGGGAAAACAUUUCCAAAAAGAGAAAACCUUUUGUUAAAAGAUCAUUGAUCCUCAAAACCUAAAAAGAGGUUAGAGAAUAAUCAGAGGGCUAAGCAGUACUUACCUCUUUUGUCCCAGAGAGAAAAAGAUGUUGUCUUUAUUCAAAGACAUUGAAAGAAUAGUUACUGAUUAAAGGAUAUGGUAUCUUGUAUUUUCUUCAGAAUAAAUAUGGGAGUUGGGAAGUGGUUAGGGCUAUAGGUGAAACAAGAUUGGCUAUGAGUUGAUUAUAGAACACAGAUAUAAGCUGAGAUGUGUCCCCCCUGCCCAAAUUCAUAUGUUAAAGCCAACUCUCAGGACCUCACAAUAGCACUGUAUUUAGAGAUGGGGCCUUAGAAGAAGUGAUUCAAUUAAGAUGAGGCCAUGACAGUCAAACAUGGGUCCCAAUCUUGUUUGACUGGUGUUCUUUUAAGAAGAGGUAAUUUGGACACACAGAGACACCAGGGAAGCACUUGCCCAGAGGAGACACCUAUGGGAACAUAGGGAGAAGGCACCCAUCUGUAAGGCAAAGAAAGAGCCUCAGAAGAAACCACAGCUGCCGCCAGCUUGAUCUUGAACUUCUAGCUUCCAGAACUGUGAGAAAAUAACUUUCUAUUGUUUGCACCAGCCAAUCUGUGGUAUUUUGUUAUGGCAGCCCUACUAGACUGAUACAAAUACCAAUCACAAAUACCUCAGAGCACAUGUCGUCUGCAAUCUGAGAACCUACAUGUUAGAAGGGAAGACAGAUGAGUAAUUAUGCAGUAAUUGUCUAAUAUGGUUGAGUGUCACACGGGAAGCUUCACUUGCUCUGGGAGCCUGAUGAUGGAUAGUGAGAUCGGAACUAGGAAAAUCACGGAAGACUUGCUGAAAGUAGGUAGGUCAAAAGGACAGGGGAAGAGAACUUUAAGUAGAAGGAACAGCAUGUGCAGAGGCCGGGAUGUGGCAGCAUGGCAUGUUUGGAAAAUCCCAAGUAGCUCAGUUGGGGUGAAGUCUAGGGUGCGUAUGAAUGAGGGAAUGGUGAGAUUCGGCACCAGAGCAGUAAGUUUUCAUCACCAUCUCUCUCUCUCUCUCUCUCUCUCUCUCUCUCUCUCUCUCUCUCUCUCUGUCUCGCACAGACACACACAUACAUUUUGUUUUAUAUCAGUUGGUCUCUCCUCACCAGCACAAAACCUCUGCUGUGCCUCUCCCGCUUUGCUUCACUGUUCCGUUUUUCACCAGCUAGAUGGUGCUUGGCACAUAGAAGGUGUUCCUCAAAAACGUUGCUAAGGGAAUGAAUGGAAAUCAUGAUUUGUUCUUUUAAAUGAUCACCGGGGAAAGUGUUUGGAAUGUGGCCCCCAGCAAGGGGUAAGUUCCGAGGUUGUGGUUGCUGCUGAAGGGGAAGGCAGGUGUGCACGGAAAGCCUAGAUGGACGGCAGAGCAGGUCAGGAGGCAGAAUCAAGAGCAUUUGUAAUGUGACUGGAUUGAGGGUUUGAGGCACUGAGACAAAGAUGGGGUCCUUUUCCGAGGCAGGAAACAUACCAAGAGGAGCAGAUUUGGGGGUGGGUUGGAGGUACUGAGUUCAGUGUUCAUCACAUGUAGCUUUUGGUAGCAGAAUGGUGUACACAGUAGCAUGUUGGCUCUGACUGUGUCAGAGGGCGGUCUGGGCUGGGCCUAGAGUUUGCAUCCUUCAACUUCAAGGUAAAACAAAAGCCAGGGACAUGAUGCAGCUAUUCCAGAAAAGUAGACACAGAAGAUAAGAAUAAGGAGUAUUGAGAGUGAAAUGGAAACGGAAAAUCAAAAUAAGCAGGGAGAAGGUUCGUACUCUUCCUCAAAGGCCUGUGAAUUCCUCAUUCCUGUGUUUGUCAGGACUUUAUUGAAUCUUAAGGAGAAUGUGUGCUUCAAAUUGUAGCUCUGAAGCUAUAAUCUUGGAAAGUUACUUAAUUGCUUUAUCACUUGUUCUUCUUCAUCUAUAAAAUGGAUCCAGUGAUAAUAGCUACCCCUGUCAUAUGUUUGUUGUGAGGACUAGAUGAGAUUAUAUGUAAAGCUUCUAGCACAUAAUGUGCACCAGUAAUCGUGAGCUCUUAUCAUUAUCAUUUUAAAUUGUGAUGUUUCCACUUUGAAACAUUAGUACUUAUGGCGUCUAAGAUUAACCACAGAAGGUUUCUUUAGAUGUGGAUUUUUGAGUAUGAUAAAACUCUCCUUUAUGUUAGGUUUUGUGCAUGUGUGUGUGUGUGUAAGUAACUGUUAAAAUACAAGUGUUCCUAGCAAUUAGUAAUUAGAAAUUGUCAACCCAAUGGUAUUAAACUGUAAGCAACAUUUAAUCAAAUAUAAACUCCAGAAUAAAUUGUGUGUUACUGACUAAACCUUAUUGGUUAGUGUUUAAUUAGAGUGUUACAGGUUUUUCCUUUUUGUUUUCAGAUGGACCUUUAUAUUAGUACCUUAAAUAUCUGAAAGUCUUACACCCCUACACAUCAUUGGCUCAUUAAAGAGUGUAUUUGCAAUUUUUUAUCUGUUUUCUUCUGUAAGUGACAUAUUUUUAAAUUAAUGUAGAUUUGAUUUGUAAUAUUGUGCCAGUUUCUGCUGUGCAGCAAAAUGACUCAGAUAUAUAUAUAUAUAUAUAUUCUUUUUCAUCAUGAUCUAUCCCGGGAGAUUGGACAUAAAUCCCAGGGCUGUACAGUAGGACCUUGUUGUUUAUCCAUUCUACAUAUCUGUUGUUUCUUUUUUUUUUUUUUGCCUCUGCCUGUGGCAUGUGAAAGUUCCCAGGCCAGGGUUCGAACCUAUGCCACAGCAGCAACCCAAGCCAUUGCAGUGAUGACACUGGAUCUUUAACCCUCUGGGCCACAAGGGAACACCAUGUUUAUCCAUUCUAAAUGUAAUAGUCUGCACCUGCUAACCCCAUCUCGCUCCCUCUCCCCUCCCCCUUGGCAACCACAAGUCUCUUCUCUAUGUCUGUCUCUCUUUGGUAGAUAUCUUCCUUUGUGCCAUGUUUUAGACUCCACGUAUAAAUGAUAUUCUUUAACUGACAUCCUGAUGACAGGGCUUCCUCCAGGGUGCCCAGUUCUUACCAUUUCCUGCCUGUUUUCUUCAGAGCAGCGGCUUUCAUUCUCCAAUAUCAUGCUUUGGUCUAAAUGGCACUGUUUAGCGACAAGCAAAGCAUGUCGCAGAGACCUCACGCUUGAGUUCACUGCAGAAUGCUCCCCUCUGACUAUCUCUUCCUCAUCAGAAAAGUUGUCCCCACCUGACCCAGUUUUCCCGUCUUAAUUCCAUUGCCCUUUGAAGUCCAGCGUGGAUGUUUCUUUGCAUAAAAUUGUUUACAGUAAUACGUUAAUCCUGUUAGUAGGUUUCCAUACUUUUCAAAAAGUCACUUCUCCUGAAGAUUUCCUUCUAUUAUGAAAAAUAGGCUAUUUUCUCUCUAAAUGUUAAAUUCUUUCGCUUAGGCUACACUUGCAUCACCACUGCCAUAGCCUGGACAAAAAUAUAUGUUUUAAUAUCCAGAAGAGGGCCAGGAAAAUAUAACUAUAAAUAUCUAUACCAUUUGAACGAGGCUGACCCCAAGGGUAGGCUCUCAGGCAGGACUGGCCUACUUCUGGGUGACCUUUCUGACUCAAAACAUCAUUACUCAUGCUGUCAGGCGAUUUUCUAAAAGGUUUUUUAUUGUAAUUCUGCAUAAAAAUUCACCCUUUUAAAAUACGUUGGGAUAAACAUCAUUUGGAAAAAAAUCGAAACUAUAUUCAUUCACUUGUUCAUCACUCACUCCCUAAUCAAUUAGUAUUUUUUGGAUGGCAGGCAGUAGCAGUGGUUUCUUAGCAUUUAGUAGUAAGUAGAGAAGAUGUGGUACUUGCUGUCAUGGGGCUUAUCAAUUAAUGGGGGACACAGCCUCCCAUGUAGAAAUAUUCAAUAAAUCUUUGAUGAACAAAUGCAUUUAAAAAUAUUAGAUUGAAAGUGAUCCCCCAAAAGGUUUAAUUUAUGACUCAUACACGUUUUUUUUAAGCCCUUCUGCAGCUCCUGAACUCAUGGUCUUCUACAGUGUGGGCUGUCAUGAAUAUCAAAAGCUAUUACAGGCAAAACAGGCUUUUGUGGUUUUUCCUCCAAAUUAACUAUGGCUCCUAUCAUUGACUUUGGGAAGAUGCUUAUAGAACUUCAUAACACUCUAAAGGAUCUCUUGGAAUGCUUCAUAUUUGUAAGCAAGGUUUUCUUUUUUCCACAUAAUGUUACUCAUCCUUUCUCCUACCCAAACUCCCUGCCUCCUUCACCCCUCCAUACCUUUACCUCUUCUGAUGUAGUAGUUAGUUUAGUUAGUUUCCUCCCCUUUGUGUUAAGCGGCCGAGAAGGAGAAAUUUCGGAAGGUGACCAAGGUUGGGAAUUAAUGAGAAACGAUACAAAAUUCCAUCUCUCUUUCUAUAAAUCUAUGCCUCUGUUAUGGCCUGUUAAAAUGUAACAGAGGGGAGUUCCCGUCGUGGCUCAGUGGUUAACGAAUGUGACUAGGAACCAUGAGGUUGUGGGUUCGAUCCCUGGCCUCACUCAGUGGGUUAAGGAUCUGGUGUUGCCAUGAGCUGUGGUGUAGGUCGAAGACAUGGCUUGGAUCUGGCGUUGCUGGGCUGUGGUGUAGGCUGGGAGUUGUAGCUCCAAUUAGACCCCUAGCCUGAGAAGCUCUAUAUGCUGCAGGUGCAGCCCUAAAAAGAAAAAAAAAA
ensembl:lncRNA